UACGUAGGGGGGCAAGCGUUGUCCGGAAUUAUUGGGCGUAAAGCGCGUGUAGGCGGCUCGGUAAGUCUGCUGUGAAAGUCCAAGGCUCAACCUUGGAAAGCCGGUGGAUACUGUCGAGCUCGAGUCCGGAAGAGGCGAGUGGAAUUCCUGGUGUAGCGGUGAAAUGCGCAGAUAUCAGGAGGAACACCAAUGGCGAAGGCAGCUCGCUGGGACGGUACUGACGCUGAGACGCGAAAGCGUGGGGAGCGAACAGG
rnacentral:rRNA from 1 species